GAUAGAACGCAGCGAAAUGCGAUAAGUAAUGUGAAUUGCAGAAUUCAGUGAAUCAUCGAAUCUUUGAACGCACAUUGCGCCCCUUGGUAUUCCGAGGGGCAUGCCUGUUCGAGCGUCAUUAUCACCCCUCAAGCUUUGCUUGGUGUUGGGGCCUGCUGUAAUAGGCAGCCCUUAAAAUCAGUGGCGGUGCUUCAAGGCUCUAAGCGUAGUAAUUCUCCUCGCUAUAGUGUCUAGUGGUUGCCAGCCAGAACCCCCCAAUUUUCAUGAUUGACCUCGGAUCAGGUAGGGAUACCCGCUGAACUUAAGCAUAUCAAUAAGCGGAGGA
rnacentral:misc_RNA from 1 species